rnacentral:rRNA from 1 species
UAAUACGUAGGGUGCAGGCGUUAAUCGGAAUUACUGGGCGUAAAGCGUGCGCAGGCGGUCUGUUAAGAGAGAUGUGAAAUCCCCGGGCUUAACCUGGGAACUGCGUUUCUAACUGGCAGGCUUGAGUGUGGCAGAGGGGGGUGGAAUUCCACGUGUAGCAGUGAAAUGCGUAGAGAUGUGGAGGAACACCGAUGGCGAAGGCAGCCCCCUGGGCUAACACUGACGCUCAUGCACGAAAGCGUGGGGAGCAAACAGGAUUAGAUACCCUGGUAGUCCACGCCCUAAACUAUGUCAACUGGUUGUCGGGGAAGCAAUUCCUUGGUAACGAAGCUAACGCGUGAAGUUGACCGCCUGGGGAGUACGGCCGCAAGGUU